AGAAAAUGAGGCGGAAGGCCAAGAACAAGCAGAAGCAGGAAGCUAAAGCCCCCAGAGCGAAGGAGGCUAAGAAGAAGUCCAAGGCCAAGGAGAAGAAGGGCAAACCGGAGAAGGGCAA